rnacentral:rRNA from 1 species
UGUGGUUAAUUCGAUGCAACGCGAAGAACCUUACCUGGUCUUGACAUCCCGGAGACCCUUAGGAAACUAGGGGGUGCUUCCAUCUGGAAGAAUCUGGAGACAGGUGCUGCAUGGCUGUCGUCAGCUCGUGUCGUGAGAUGUUGGGUUAAGUCCCGCAACGAGCGCAACCCUUGCCUUUAGUUGCCAGCAGUUCGGCUGGGCACUCUAAAGGGACUGCCGGUGUUAAACCGGAGGAAGGUGGGGAUGACGUCAAGUCCUCAUGGCCUUUAUGACCAGGGCUACACACGUACUACAAUGGCCGAUACAAAGGGCAGCGACACUGCGAGGUGAAGCCAAUCCCGUAAAAUCGGUCUCAGUCCGGAUUGGAGUCUGCAACUCGACUCCAUGAAGUUGGAAUCGCUAGUAAUCGUGGAUCAGCAUGCCACGGUGAAUACGUUCCCGGGCCUU